rnacentral:rRNA from 1 species
UACGUAGGGGGCUAGCGUUGUCCGGAAUCAUUGGGCGUAAAGCGCGCGUAGGCGGCCAGAUAAGUCCGGUGUGAAAGUCACAGGCUCAACCUGUGAAUGCCGCUGGAAACUGUCUGGCUAGAGUCCGGAAGGGGCGAGUGGAAUUCCUGGUGUAGCGGUGAAAUGCGCAGAUAUCAGGAGGAACACCAAUGGCGAAGGCAGCUCGCUGGAACGGUACUGACGCUGAGGCGCGAAAGCGUGGGGAGCGAACAGA